rnacentral:tRNA from 1 species
GGAGGGUAUAGCUCAGUGGUAAAGUGCAUGCUUAGCAUGCACGAGGUCCUGGGUUCAAUCCCCAGUACCUCCA